CCUACGGGUGGCUGCAGUCGAGAAUCAUUCACAAUGGGGGAAACCCUGAUGGUGCGACGCCGCGUGGGGGAAUGAAGUUCUUCGGAUUGUAAACCCCUGUCAUGUGGGAGCAAAUUAAAAAGAUAGUACCACAAGAGGAAGAGACGGCUAACUCUGUGCCAGCAGCCGCGGUAAUACCGAGGUCUCAAGCGUUUUUCGGAAUCACUGGGCGUAAAGCGUGCGUAGGCUGUUUCGUAAGUCGUGUGUGAAAUGCACGGGCUCAACCCGCGGACGGCACAUGAAACUGGGAGACUAGAGUAAGGGAGGGGGAACCGGAAUUCUAGGUGUAGCAGUGAAAUGCGUAGAUAUCGAGAGGAACACUCGUGGCGAAGGCGGGUUCCUGGACCUUAACUGACGCUGAGGCACGAAGGCCAGGAGAGCGAAAGGGAUUAGAUACCCGUGUAGUC
rnacentral:rRNA from 1 species